UUUUGAAGGCGGCGGUGGGAGGGACUGAGGGGCUGAUGUGCUCAGGUGCUUCAUGCUGAGCUUUCGCCUUCCUCUCUAGGGCUGCUGAUGCUGCGGCCCCAGUCCUCCAAAAGCGUAAAACGAAGCCCAUAACGCGGGGCUGGUGGGGAAAACCAGUGCUAUGUCAGUGAGGAAACGGGUUGGGGUUGGCGGGCGGCCUUCUGUGGGGCUGGAGUGCAUCCCUCAGGGGUUGGGGCUGGGAGGGUUGGCCCAGCCUUUAUCGAUGCUGCCCUCGUUCUCGUUCCUGCUGUAGGUCCACUUCGUUUAAAAGACUCGCUGACAGAAUUCCUGCUUUUAAAUGCCGUUUUUAGUCGUAUUGUUACACUUUUUCUUAUAUCUCAGCGCUUUAAUUUUUUCAAGCGGCCUUGAAGCAGUACCACGCUGAUACAAGGGCUAUGGCACUGUGGCCUUACAGCUCUGACAACACUUAAAGAACCUCCAAGAAAGACAGCUUGGCUCUUCAGGUUUUGGCACCUAGCCUGAUUGACCUCUUCCUAUUGCAAUGUCUGAACAAUUCCCCAAGUUUUGUUCUGAGAUGGAUGCAGGAUUUUAGCACCAGCGCUUCAGGAGCCUCCACAGAAUGCACUUCCAUUGCUUCGGAGGGUCUCAGGUUCAGCUACUCCAUUACAGCCUUAGGCUACAUUCCUCAUCAAAGACAGAGAGACCCUGUUGACAUUUUCCUGAUUGAACUCAAAAUUAUUCUCCAAAGGAUUGGGGUUUGAUCCCUCAGGGGUUCUGGAGUCCUGUACGCUCUGUGUGCCGUGGGCCAGCCACCAAGCACUGCCACACUGACAGCAAACCAUAGAAGUCCUGAUGACAUUAGAAAUAAACUGCCUUAGAACCCUGAAGAUCUCAAUUAAAUUUGACGUCCCAGAGCAUCCUCAGGCCUUGCAGCAUCUGAAACACUGGGGCUGUGUGGUUGAAUCAACCUGCAGCAAGCCCGGUUGCCCCAACUUUAAGAAAAGCACAAGCCUGUGAUGCAAACCCUCAAACAAACCUCUAACCGUAGCACCCAGAAUAACUCUGCUCUGCUCACUGCUGGGAGACUAGGCCCUAGAAGGGAGUAUUUUUCCACCUUUCAAAUACCUGCCAUGGAGCAAGGCAUUGCCCCUAUUUCUCGCCGCAUAGGCACAGACAGCUCAUUUGUGCACUCUUUUCCUCCCCAGUGUGACUCCAAGCUUCUGGCUCAGACUGUUCCCCCCUGUGUCUAUGCUUUUGGUCUCUUGCCACCAUCCAAUUUACCUGGCAGCUUGCCACAUGUCUGCCCCGGUGCUGGAUUGUUUCUGUCUCCUUCUGACAUUGGCUCCUUGCCUGCAGAAUUGCUUUAAUUAAAAAGUUAAUGAAAGGUACUGCAAACGAGUGUUUUGCCUGUGUUUUAUCACAGUCCAGCUCCUCUCCCUCCCUUUUUCCCAGAGAAGGUGAAAAUGAAGCGCUGGGGUUUUGCUGCUUUUAUAGUGAGAGUUAGUGGAAAUUUCUACUGACUUAGGAGGAGCCCUGUGAAGAAAGAAAUUAUAAUGGUAAUGCAUGCAAGCAAGUAUGUAGAUGGUGAAUGUUAUUCACCAAUGAAAGCUGAGGAAGUUUUCAUUUAAAGGGGAUUAAUCUAAGCCCCUUACAGCUCUCUUUGUAACAGGCGGUUCUCAGCAUCAUUUUCCUCCUAAGAUUAGUGUGAACUCCUGGAAAACUUUCUAAAAGAAUAUUCCCCAACUCCCAGUUGUCCCAAGCAGGGACAAAGGGAAGGUGAAAAACCUCACGCCUGUAGCGUGUGACCUUGGAUCCUCAGAGAAGAGGGCUCGUUCAUC
rnacentral:lncRNA from 1 species